rnacentral:tRNA from 1 species
CAGAAGAUAGUUUAAUAAAAUUUUAAUUUUGGAGAUUAAAGAUAAGAAAUAAUUCUUUCUUCUGA